rnacentral:rRNA from 1 species
CCUACGGGAGGCAGCAGUGAGGAAUAUUGGUCAAUGGACGAGAGUCUGAACCAGCCAAGUAGCGUGAAGGAUGACUGCCCUAUGGGUUGUAAACUUCUUUUAUAUGGGAAUAAAAUGUUCCACGUGUGGGAUUUUGUAUGUACCAUUUGAAUCCGGAUCGGCUAACUCCGUGCCAGCAGCCGCGGUAAUACGGAUGAUCCGAGCGUUAUCCGGAUUUAUUGGGUGUAAAGGGAGCGUAGGUGGAUUGUUAAGUUAGUUGUGAAAGUUUGCGGCUCAACCGUACAAUUGCAGUUGAAACUGGCAGUCUUGAGUACAGUAGAGGUGAGCGGAAUUCGUGGUGUAGCGGUGAAAUGCUUAGAUAUCACGAAGAACUCCGAUUGCGAAGGCAGUUCACUGGACUGCAACUGACACUGAGGCUCGAAAGUGUGGGUAUCAAACAGGAUUAGAUACCCUGGUAGUC